AUCAUAUGAUGAAGCUGCUCCAACAAGUAAUCCACCUCCAUGGAUCCAUACUAAGACCUGGGAAGAGAAAAACGGGAUCAACCCAGCACAGCUAAUAUUUGCUGGGGCCAAGCAUGUGAGUUGAUCAUCACUACCAAAGUGCCCCUGCACAUCUGCUCAUGGCACAGGUUGAGUGUUGGCUGUCAGAUAAUUUUGCUCAAGGUGUUGUAAGAUUUUUGCUUACAGGCAGCUUCUCCUGUUUUCCUGUAGAAACGGGUGUGUACACAUUUAGGUACAGGCAAUCCUCAGACACUCGCAGAGGAACUUUCUCUUUUCUGUUGGUAAUCAUAUCUGAAAUAUUCUGUCCUUGUACUUGGUCUUGUAGACACCUAAAUAAAUGGAAAGUAACAAGCAAGAGAAUUCACUAAAA